AUUGAACGCUGGCGGCAGGCCUAACACAUGCAAGUCGAGCGGAUGAAGGGUGCUUGCGCCUGGAUUCCGCGGCGGACGGGUGAGUAAUGCCUAGGAAUCUGCCUGGUAGUGGGGGAUAACGUCCGGAGACGGGCGCUACUACUGCAUACGUCCUGCGGGAGCAAGUGGGGGAUCUUCGGACCUCUCGCUCUCAGAUGAGCCUAGGUCGGAUUAGCUAGUUGGUGGGGUAAAGGCCUACCAAGGCGACGAUCCGUAACUGGCCUGAGAGGAUGAUCGGUCACAUUGGAGCGUGGACGCGGUCCUGACGACUACGGGAGGGAGCAGUGUGGAAUAGUAGACAGCGGGGGAAAGCCUGGUCCAGCCAUGCCGCGUGUGUUAAGAAAGUCCUCGGAGUGUAAAGCACGCUAAGGUGGGAGGAAGCGCAGUAAGUUGAGACCUUGCGGUAUUGACGUUACCAGCAGAAGAAGCACCGGCUAACUUCGUG
rnacentral:rRNA from 1 species